UAUUAUCCCUCCUGCACCCUUCUCCGAGCUGGCUGGGUAAGAGGCUCUUCGCUCAGUCUUCAGGUUUAGCUUUUGUCUUUGCCGGUGAGCAAUGCAUAGGCGACCUGGGUAUGUCAAGUCACAGAGAAAAUAGAGAGUGCUCAUGACUGGACCAUUGUUUGUUUUCCCCAAAUAUAAAGACAGAAAUGGUAAGAUAAAGUAAAUUAGCCCUGGUCCAGCAGUUGGAUCUAAAAUGUACUUUUUUUUUUUUUUUUUUUUUUUUUUUGGUAAGCUAUAGUGAUAGACAGUUAACAUGCUCUAAUUUCUAACAUCUCUGCAUCUCUACAUGUGUGUGUGCUAGUUCAUGUGUGUGGAUACAGGUUUGCCCUUUUGGUCAGGAGAGAACUGCAUGCAUUGGUCGUCUUCUACCCAAGCUUUAGACGGCAUCUUGUUUUGUGCUGUGUUUGCUGGGUCAGUUGGCACAAGCAUUCUAGGAUGUUUUUGUCUUGACUCUCUGCCUCUCUUCUUUCUUGGAGCCUCGGGAUUAAGAUACAUGCGACAGAAUAAGCUUUCUGUGGGUUCUAGGGAUCUGAAGUCAGGACCGCAGGAAGUGCCUCUGCUCACCAGUCCCAGGCUCUCUAAUUUCUGUGCCACAGUGGUGAUCUGUUGUUCAGUGCCAUAGUGUCGAUAGCACUGUGUGUUUCAAGACGCACUUCCUUCUCUUUUAAACUGGGAAGACUUCUAAUUUAAAGGGAAGCAAAAGUCCUUUGAAGACCACCAAACCUCAGCUGGUAUCAGCCAGCCCAUAGGCUGCUUGUGCAUACACGUAUGCUCAUUGCUAAGGUCGCUGACGUGGUGUGUAGUGUAUGAUCUAAAAACGAUGAGGAAGGCACAUUGAUCCUUAGACAGCUUUCCUAUAGCAACCGGCCUUUUAAAUGAAUGAUGUCUUAGCACAGCAGCCAGCAAUUCAAACCAUACUGCCUGCCCCCUUCCAAAUCAUACAUUGAUCUACACACCAACCUUUCUCCAACAAAUUACUAUCAUUACAUCACUUAUAAUCUUGACCCAUUUCUGAUAUAUACAUUGUACUUAUUGUAAUAGUUUUAAUAACUGUAAACACUUGGAUCAUGAGGAGUCCCACUGGAUGAAGGGCUAGGCAGAAGCAUGCCGUAGGCACAGAACACCUGUAAAUAGCGCCAGGAAUAGGUAAUGGUUGUGGUUAGGAACUUUAGGAUUUCAGUAAUCUGUGACCACUGUUCCAACAAUGCUGGGCAUUGAAUAGAACACAUUGUCAAGCUUCAAGGUGCAGGUUAGUCAAGGCUGGAGUGGUUUAAUGAGACCCUAGGUUCAAUCCUUGGUAUCACACAGAGUGUACUGUCUGUCUCUGAACUAUCACAACAGCCCAUUUUUCUUUCUUUCUUCAUUUCUUCCUUCCUUUCUUUCUUCUUUUCUCUCUCUCUCUCUUUCUUUCGAUUUAUUUAUUUUAUAUAUAUGAGUGCUCUAUUUGCAUGCAUGUCUGCAUGACACAGGAGGAUAUCACAUCCCAUUAUAGAUGGUUGUGAGCCAUCAUGUGGUUGCUGGGAAUUGAGUUCAGGACCUCUGGGAGAGUAGUCAGUGCUCUUGACCGCUGAGCCAUCUCUCCAGCCCCCCCCCCCCACAUUUGUUUUUAAUGUAACUUAUUUAGUUGUGAAUUUAUGUAAUUUAAAUGGUAACAGUGGGCUCACAGCUUCCUGGGAAAGCAAGAACUGGAGAGCUGGUUCUGCAGGCUGCGAGGAACCAGGCUUUGGGCACCACUGUCAUCACUGACAGUCCUGACACUCAGGUUCAGAGAAGAAAGCUUGCUUAUGCUCAGUGACGUAGCUUAAAUGUAACUAAACAAACCAGAUGUGAACAACUGAGCACUCACAACAGUUUGUCAGCAUCUCAAGGCCUCUCAAAACUAUCAGAUGCAGGAAAUACCUUUACAUCCAUCACAUGGAAGCAACAUACAUCGACAUCCAGUAAGUGGGAAAACUAAGAGGAUUUGCCCCUUUUGUGGUCAAAUAAUUAAACCCCGAGGUGAGGUCAGGUCUGAGACUUAAGCAUUAAUUAAUGAUCUACAGUAGGAAUUUUACAUAGGUUAAAAGUUAGCUCCCCCCACCAAGUCAUAUCCAUUACAGAUUCUUUUCUUUUUUUUUUAAAGAUUUAUUUAUUACAUGUAAGUACACUGUAGCUGUCUUCAGACACACCAGAAGAGGGCGUCAGAUCUUGUUACAGAUGGUUGUGAGCCACCAUGUGGUUGCUGGGAUUUGAACUCUGGACCUUCGGAAGAGCAGUCGGGUGCUCUUACCCGCUGAGCCAUCUCACCAGCCCCCCAUUACAGAUUCUAACAUUGUUAUUCUUGUGUAGAUACACAAUGUCUGAGUGUGAGCAUGUGUGUCAGAGUGUGUGCACAGGUCAGAGGACAACUUUGUGAAUUCUGCUCUAGCCUCCCUUCAGGUGGGUUCCUAGAGUCAAACUCAGGACCAGGGCCGUACUGUAAGCUCUUCUACCCACUGAGACAUUUUGCUCACUCCUCAGCCACACUCCCUUCCGUAUGUAACUGUGGUAUCAGCAGAUGCUGUUCAUUAAAACAAUGUACAUUAACUGUGUGCAGAGACAGUCUCUGGAAGGACACCUAGACAAAUUCUAGUACUGGAGUGGCCUUGGAGGGGAGCCCAGUGAUGUGUUUACUGAGUGAAAGAAAAAAACUUUAAAAGACAGACAAUUAUCUGGUUCUAGAACUUUCAUUAUAAACAUUAUUUUCAUGGAAGCAUUAAUGAGCCAUUAACUUCAGAUGGGUGUUUCUCGUUUUUAAACAAUAAAUUAGAUUUUUCUCUAUGUUAAUGUAGAUCUUUAUAUUGUAAAGUUACUAUGUUAUAGUAAAAAAAAUCUAAGCUUAUAUAUAUUAACAUAUAUGUGUGUACUGACUGGUUUUAUGUGUCAACUUGACACAAGCUGGAGUUAUCACAGAGAAAGGAGCCUCCCUUGAGGAAAUGCCUCCAUGAGAUCCAGCUGCAAGGAAUUUUCUCAAUUAGUGAUCAAGGUGGGAGGGCCCAUUGUGGGUGAUGCCAUCCCUGGGAUGGUAGUCCUGCGUUCUAUAAGCAAGCAAGCUGAGCAAGCCAGGGGAAGCAAGCCAGUAAGCAGCAUUCCUCCAUGGCCUCUGCAUCAUCUCCUGCCUCCAGGUUCCUGCCCCGUGUGAGUUCCAGUCCUGACUUCCUUUGGUGAUGAACAGCAAUGUGGAAGUGUAAGCUGAAUAAACCCUUUCCUCUCCAACUUGCUUCUUGGUCAUGAUGUUUUGUGUAGGAAUACAAACCCUGAAUAAGACAGUAUGUUUAUAGGAUGACAGACAAGGUCUCUGUCAUCUUAAAAUAUGCAUAUUUUAAAAAAUCUUGGAACAUUUAAGUGACUGGUGUUGAUGUUUUAAAGCACACAGUAUCCCUGACCUGCAAGAUACACAAGCUGAACAUGACUUUGUGAGCAGUCAACAUUGACAUUGCCUAGAAUUCAGGAAAUGUUCUGGUUUGGAUGGCAAGCAAAGUGGCCAUUGGACUUGUCUCCAUAGUCCCUGAAUCUGCUGACAGAUGAACACAGAUGGGGCCUUCUGUGACCAAGCUCAGGACUUUCCUGUUGGCCUCCCUGGAGGGUUCACACACCCACAGCUCCAGAGCAAAGGCAAAUGGGGAGGGCAGAAGACAGGUGUGAAUCAGCUUCGUACAAAUGAUAAGAAUCACACCAAAACAAAACAAAACAAAACAACAACAACAACAAAAAACCCAGGUGAGCCAGUCUGUCCAUGGAAUGUUUAUGAGGAGUGGGUCCAUGGAACAAAGAGGCAACGUAGACAAAAGUAAAGACAGCUACCCACAUGCGACCAGGUGAGCAAGCCACUGCCAGUCAGAGUCUGCUUGCUACUUUGUGUCAGCAAACCCAGCCAAUCAGAGUCUGGCCCAGUCAUAGGCUGCUUGCUACUUUGUGUCAACAAAUUCAAGAACGGCUCCUUCUACGGUUCCUCCCUAGCGCAAGUGGACCUGGCUCGGAAUUAUUUGACUUUAAGAAGUGAAUGGCUGGCAGCUGCUCGCAGCUGCGGCCAGGCUGGAGCCCCCAAGCUCACUCACCGGUGCUGCUCUGGAUGGUCCUCACGGUGGUGGUUGUGCGUG